CCCUUUCUUGUUGCCUCCGCCUAUAUACCACCGUCGUCAGCUUACCCUUCUGAAGGCACCAUAGUAAGCAUAACUGGCACAGCCCCACACGUCAGGUCGAGGUGUAGCGCACGAAAGGGGAAGAAAUGGGCUACAUUUACCCUUUAACGGUACACUACGAAAGAUGUAGUUGAAACACUAACAAGAAGGAGGAUUUAGCAGUAAGCAGAAAAUAGAGAGUCCUGCUGAAAUUGGCCCUGAAGCGCGCACACACCGCCCGUCACUCUCCCCGAGCUUUACAAAUUGACCCUAAGUAAAAACCCACCCGCCGCUAAGGGGAGGCAAGUCGUAACAUGGUAAGUGUACCGGAAGGUGCACUUGGUAAAAC
rnacentral:rRNA from 1 species